GAAGUGUUAUUCUGUUGUUGAGUCAAUGAAUGAAUGAUGCAUCCGACAGUGACGGGUAAUAUAAAAUAAUAUAGGGUAAUAGUCCACUGUGCUAUCAGCAGCAUACGCCUUGGCUGGCUUGGCCACAUUCAUAGAAAUAAUAGAAUCAAGAAUGCCAGAGGCUAGACUGGCUGGAUGCGGCAGAGGAGUAGUUCCACAAGACAUUGUGAUUGUCACAUUCAUGACAUUCCCACUCCCAGAAUCUACAAUUAGAUCUAGAAUACUACUGUAUCUAGUCUCAGUAUCAUACUGAGAAACUUUAUUAAUCCUAUGCAUGACCCAUUUUGCACAUACCCAAUGCUUGAUGUUGCCAUUUUCUUCAGAAUUGAGAGUACAGCUUAGGUUCAAGUGACUAGUCUUAGGUCUAUCUAGCUCCUAAGAUGUCUGCGCAAAAGCUGAAAAAGACCUGGACUUACCAUGACAUUGAAAUCCCAAACGCUGCUCUGGAUGACAUAAAAAUCAAAUGAAUGCCAUUAAGAAAAAUUCAUCUAAUCUAUCUGGAUCUAUAAAUCUGCAUUUUUGUUCCAGCAUCAUUCAUCUUGACUAAUGUAGAAUAUAGUCUACAGCAGUAAAACAUUUAAUGAUGUUUUCAAAGAAACCAAAAUUGAACCAUACUUAUGACACUGCCAUAUCUGAAACAAAAGCAAUAUUCGUUGAACAUCCUGCACAAUACACAGAAAGCAAACCUUAGUUAGUCAAAAAAAUCUUAUUUAGCUAAGGAUGAGGAGAAAAGGCUUUCCAAAUGACUUGUUGAGUUCGCCAGACAUGCUAACACACUUUACCAAAUUAAAGUCAGGUACCCAUUAGAGUUUGCAAAAGUAAUAAUAAGGGCAUGUGGAUCAUCACUACACCAGAAAAUCUCAAAAUCAGGAACAAAUAUAGUUAACAACACAGUGUUUGCCAACAAUUUUAAACUAUCAUCUCAGGCUGUCUUUAAGAGCACCAAGUCUCUUGGUAAAGAAAAGGCUCUUGUUUCACCUUAGUCGGUGAAAUAAUUUUAUUGAUUCCACCAUAUUACCAAUUUCAACUGGAUUUUCAAUGUGGAUGAAAGGGGUUUUGGUUUGACACAAAAAGCCACAAGUGCUUGCAAGGUUGUUGUCUUCAUAAAGGCUAAUAUGAUUACAACACAUCAAACACUAAAAAUCUGGUCACUGUCGUAGUGUGAUGCAAAGCAUCAAGGCAUCCCUCUUUUGCAAUAUAUCCUAAUAAGAAAAUCCCAAGACAAAACAUUCUUGAAAACUUCCUUGGGACCCUUUUAGAAAUCUCAGAAACGCUACUUAUUUGUUCCCAAAACUACAAAAUUCAGUAUUGUCUCCUACCUCAAGCCACUAGACCAUCACAGGUUCCAUCAGAAAUCUCUGCAUCAUCAAUAUAACCUGAGGCCUCCAAAUGCCCAGUGCAAGAAGAGUCAUCUUUAUCUCACUCACCAAGUGCACUUUCCAGUCCUAGCAGAUUAUACAAUAUUUCAAACAGAGGCCUCUAAAUCCCAAGCACAAAAAAGCCUCUUUAUCUAACUCAACAUGUCCACACGUCUAAAUCCUCAUCUCAUUUUGUGGCCUCCACAUCUCCACAAGAGUCCUACACUUUACAGUCUUGAUCCAGCCCCUAGCCUCUAGACUCUAGAUCCACAGUGUCCCCAGAUGUUUCUACACUCUUCUCACCAUGAAUGUCACCAAUCCUUUAUAAGUCCUCAAUAUUCACCUGAAAUCAAUAUCUUCAUCCCCAUGAAAGUCUAGUUCAUUGGAAGAGCAUUCUUAUUUUGUGUUUUUGAAGAGAGGACAAAACCUGAAUGAUCAUUUUUUUUCCCCUAGACCAAAAAUCACAGAAAAUUUGAGAUUUUCUCAUUUCCUGUGCAACAGUUUGAAGUUUAAACUUGAGCCAUUGCCCAUGCAUUUAAAGAUCCAGAAAAUUCACCAUCUAAAUGUAAACAGCAGAUCACAUAUUCAAUUUCUCUUUCUUUAAAAGGGAAGAAUGGAAAGAACAAGAAUAUGAGAACUACUCCAACAUCCAAAGAAAAGUAAAUCAGUUAAGGAGGCUGAUCACUUCACCACAAACAUGUGACACUCAGGAUGUUUGUAUGACCUGAAAAGAAAUGGGCAUAGACAUUGCCUUAGUUUAGGGGAUGACAUUGAACAGUUUAGUGAAAUCUGCCUAUAGUUGGGGACCACAGACAGAUGUAACAUUUAGGUCCUUUGUGAAUUGUGUGACUCUUGGUGGCACAGUACUUGCACUUUGUCAGUAACUGACUAUUUCAAGAAAUUUGGUAGAAUAAAUUAUCCUCCUGUGCUGUUCAGCGCUUAGAGCAGCAAGCCCUCUCCGUAAGGCUGUCACUGGCAACAUCUGAAGCCUCUACAUACCUGAUGUCACUGAGGUCCUGCAUGAAAGGUUGGAACCAAUGUGAUAUUACCGGACUGGGGUGGAUCAGAUCACUGAAGGUUAGCUGUACUUCAAAGAAUUUAACAGUAUUUAUAUCAAGAACUUGACUUGUCCAUGUAGUGACUACGUUACAGAACCUACUUCAUCUCCAUUGCAAAUUGUGACUAGUUCAACAAUGUGUGUACUUGCAUGGCUGCAGGUUGGCAUUACUCUACCAUCUUUAACAGAAGUUUAAAAGGUCAACUGUCUUCUUUUGUAGUGAGUUAUAAAACGACUGCAGGUCCAUUAGUUGAAGCUGUUUCAUAAAGUUGUAUCGUUUAGUUGUUUAAAUGAUAAGUUAUAACAGUUGAAGCAGAAUUUAAGUCAUUGGUUAAUAUGCAUGACGCGUAGGACGUAAUCAUCUUCUUUUUUGAAGUAAUGUCUGUAUUAUAUAAGAUAAAAUAAGAUAACCAAUUGUUUUUUAAACUAUUAACAAACAAAUGUACAUUUAGCUCAGGAUGUUAA